rnacentral:rRNA from 1 species
GAUGAACGCUGGCGGCGUGCCUAAUACAUGCAAGUCGAGCGAACGGACGAGAAGCUUGCUUCUCUGAUGUUAGCGGCGGACGGGUGAGUAACACGUGGAUAACCUACCUAUAAGACUGGGAUAACUUCGGGAAACCGGAGCUAAUACCGGAUAAUAUUUUGAACCGCAUGGUUCAAAAGUGAAAGACGGUCUUGCUGUCACUUAUAGAUGGAUCCGCGCUGCAUUAGCUAGUUGGUAAGGUAACGGCUUACCAAGGCAACGAUGCAUAGCCGACCUGAGAGGGUGAUCGGCCACACUGGAACUGAGACACGGUCCAGACUCCUACGGGAGGCAGCAGUAGGGAAUCUUCCGCAAUGGGCGAAAGCCUGACGGAGCAACGCGGCGUGAGUGAUGAAGGUCUUCGGAUCGUAAAACUCUGUUAUUAGGGAAGAACAUAUGUGUAAGUAACUGUGCAAAUCUUGACGGUACCGAAUCAGAAAGCCACGGCUAACUACGU